UUUGAUGGCGACCGGCGCACGGGUGAGUAACACGUAUCCAACCUGCCGAUGACUCGGGGAUAGCCUUUCGAAAGAAAGAUUAAUACCCGAUGGCAUAAUGAUUCCGCAUGGUUUCAUUAUUAAAGGAUUCCGGUAAAGGAUGGGGAUGCGUUCCAUUAGGUUGUUGGUGAGGUAACGGCUCACCAAGCCUUCGAUGGAUAGGGGUUCUGAGAGGAAGGUCCCCCACAUUGGAACUGAGACACGGUCCAAACUCCUACGGGAGGCAGCAUG
rnacentral:rRNA from 1 species